rnacentral:lncRNA from 1 species
AUCCUGACGUGGAGAUAUGAAGAAAACCUCUUCCAAAGCUCCAAACUUCCAAACUUGCUAUUUUUUCUCAAAACCUUCAAAACACACCAAAACUCUUAAAACCCUUGAAAGAUUUGGUGAAAAACAUGAAAAACAUGAAAGUCAACAUGGGAGAGGCUUGACCUCACCUCUGGCUGCAAGUGGAGGAGAAAUAUCCUCCUUCCACCGACC